rnacentral:rRNA from 1 species
UCAUCGAGGUGCUGCAUGGCUGUCGUCAGCUCGUGUCGUGAGAUGUUGGGUUAAGUCCCGCAACGAGCGCAACCCUUGUCCGCUGUUGCCAUCAGGUAAUGCUGGGCACUCUGCGGAGACUGCCGGUGAUAAACCGGAGGAAGGUGGGGAUGACGUCAAGUCAGCAUGGCCUUUAUGUCUGGGGCUACACACGUGCUACAAUGGCCGGUACAAACCGUCGCGAUGCCGCAAGGUGGAGCUAAUCGGAGAAAGCCGGUCUCAGUUCGGAUUGCAGGCUGCAAAAAGGCCUGCAUGAAGUUGGAAUCGCUAGUAAUCGCGGAUCAGCACGCCGCGGUGAAUACGUUCCCGGGC